GGCGGGGCCCGGACGCGGGCUGAGGAAGCCCGAGCGCCGCGGCCUCGGAGCCGUCGGAGACCGGGCAUGCGCGGACGGCGGCGGGUGCGUGGGUCGCGCGCUAGGACGCCGAAGUCAACAAGGCCAGGGGCCGCCCCAUCCGGCUCCGCCCCUCGGGGCGCCCCGCCCCCAGGCCCAAACAACGCGAGGUCUUGACGCGGCCCGGGGUCCUGAGGCCGCGAGAGACUCCGCGAGAGCAGGCUCGCCGCUCCCGCAUCCGCGGGUGUGGAUGAUCGAAUAGGCUUCGUGGUUUGUUGUGUUCGCGUUCGCCACGGAGCCGAGGCCUGUCCCCGGCCUUGAGCGGCUCUACCGGCGUGUGGGCGCCUGUCUGUCGGUCAGCGCGGGCCACUCAUUCCUCGACCGGCGGCGGGCCCGGGAGCCGAGCCCUGGGUUGCGGCGCCGGGUGCACGUCCGAGCGUUGGGCCUGUGGUUUCUUGGGCUGCGGUUUGCAGACGAGCUCAAGUGAGGCGGCCUAGCUGGCGAGCUGCCUCCGGUGAACGCGUUGGCUAGAAAGCCCGGGGCGCUGUUUCCCACCAAGGCUGACUGUGUGCAGAAGUGGUUAAAUCACAUGCUCUUCACGAAGAACCUGCAAGCAGGGUCAGGGCUGACAUCGCCAGGGAAGAGCUUGCAAACCAGAGCAAAACUGCUAAGGUUGUCUGCGGUCCAGCCUCCACACCAGAGCUUGGCGGGUGCCCUCCUGUUGAUCCAGGUGCUCUGGGCCUGGGGACACGGGCCCUUCUGUCGCAGCACAGCCAGCGUGUGUGCACAGCGCACACAGUGAGCAUUAUUUCCCUGCCCGGGAGGAUCCUGCUGCUGCCCGGCGGGGAUGCCCAGGAGAAAGUGCGGCUCUGCUGAAAGGCUCUGUCCCUGAGUAAGAAGAACACAUGGAGCUGAGCUUCCCCACCCACACAGCUCCCAGGGCAUAUGGAGUUCCUGGGCCAGGGAUCAGA